GUACUGCUGAGGAGUCCUACAACAGGAUGAAACAGCCGUCCAGUAC
rfam:Schistosoma rodhaini strain Burundi genome assembly, scaffold: SROB_scaffold0002479